UAAGAAACUCCUCAAUCAAGAUGAAUGAGACCUUUCAUGGAAGUCUUAGUUGGACUCUACACCGCUACGCACCUUACGUCGAUCUAGAUGAUAACAAGGCCUUUCUUCCUCAUGAAGAAGGAGUAGAGACCUAGCUUUCAUCUGUCUGUUAAAAUGUAAUGCUAUACCUUUAGUUGGACUCUACACAGCUACGCACCAUACGUCGAUCUAGAUGAUAACAAGGUCUUUCUUCCUCGUGAAAAAGGAGUAGAGACUUAGCUUUCAUCUGUCUGUUAAAAUAUAUGCUAUACCUUUUGUCCUUGAGAAUCGGCUGGGUAUAGUGGGAAAGAGUUUGACGAUCUAGUUACAUAUCACAUAAG
rnacentral:lncRNA from 1 species